ACCUGGCUGGCUCAGUGGGUAGAGCAUGCAACUCUCGAUCUCAGGGCUGUCGGUUCAAGCCCUGCGUUAGGUG
rnacentral:tRNA from 1 species